UGUUGUACUUAUAUCAGCAAGUUUGGUGCUUAGUUAAUCUAGUACUUCAGUUUACCUAGAUAAAAGUUAAGUGAAAAAUGAGUUGCCAUUUUUGUGAAAAAGUUUUAAGUGAAGUGUGUUUUAUAAAGGUUCAUUUCUGGUUCAGUAAUAGUACGGAAAUGAUGCGCCAGAAACGCCCCUAUAUACAAAGAUAAUAAGACGCAGAUAGGCGUUGUGAAGACAUCAGCCUACGAAUUUAUUACAUCCUACAACAAGAUUCUUAUCUAACUACAAGAAAGACGAAGAGGGCGUACGUCGUGUCUCCUACAUAUUUUAUUGACGCGACUGGGACACAAGAGACGACGAGGCGAGAUAGAUCCGGCGAUAGAUUGCUUAUUAGACAAGAAUAACGGAUUGCAUAGCCUGCACAGUGGUCAAGUCCUGCGAAACCUGUCCCUGACUCUAUUACAAUAAAUUAUAUUUUAUUUCAUUGCAAAUGUAGCAAUCCACAAUAUUUUCAUAAUUUUAUAGUAGGCUUGAGACCAUGCCAAGUCAUAGUUAUCUCGCUCCUAAAACACAGCCGCUAUUGAGCCUCAUAAAAUUAUGUAGAGUGGGCGAAGAGUCUCCACCCGUCCCUAAUUUUGUGGGAUAACCAAAUUUUGCCGCACUGUCGUAGUGGUAAUGUAGACCGGCCAGCCACUAACGUUUUUUUUAUGUCUAGAGAAUAUGAUUGGGAAACUGUAAUUCUGCUAACCUGUCUGUAAUUUUAAUUUCCUAUAUUUUCUAAGCUUUGAUAAUUCACUUGAGUUGAGUCAGCAUUUAGCUAAAGGUAAACAAAAUAAUUAAGUAAAUAAUAAAUUAAGCUUUGAUAAUAUGUUUUAAGUUAUAUCUGUAAUAAUACUUACUUUAUGAUCUGUUAAAUGUUGUUGAAAUUAUAUUAUUUGUAAUAUGAUAAUGCAAGUAAAUAAAAUAAAAAAUGUAAAUACCAGUCAAUAUUUUUGUUUGUUUUAUGGAGUUGUAGUUGGCUACAAAUCGCACAUUUCCACUCCAAGAAAUUUUAUGUAAAUAUAUGUAAGGAAACACGGAGCCAUAAUGAUUGCAUUGCUUCCUGUGUCAGGUCAUUAACCACUUAUAAGUGUAAUUCGAAGAAUUCCUAAAAAUCCCAAUUCCCUUGCUGAAUAACUGUAUUUAACUAUGGAACGCAUUUUUUUUCUUUAUGAUGUUCGUAAUUUAUGCACUUCAAACUCAUUUGUGGGACUAGUCUCUGGUUUUUAUUAUAGUUGGCAACACUACAAAGUGAGGGAGAACAUUUGGAGUUCGCACGGCGUGGUGAGAUGAGUAGGCACAAUUAAAAGACUAUUAGGACACAUCUAGUUAACUUUGAUGUAUAAUUUAAAACAUUUUUUUGUCAGUUUAUGUACUCCUUAAUGUUAUAGCUUGUAGUUUGCAUGUAAGGCGUAUAAAAAGUGUGUUUUGUGGUCAAUAAAGUACAGUUUUUUCCGGUUGUGUUAUUAUUUUUGGUAUAACUUGUUCUUUGUUCAUAUUUUGUUGUUUAAUCGUAUUCUGAUCAACAAAAGAAAAUACUUGCUUAUCAACUUCCAAUGGUGGUAAGUAGUCAGACCCCUUUCUGUGACUGGAAUUACCAUCCAUUGCACACUUACUAUUCAGUCUGUAUCUAGGAGUAAUCUAAAAUUCUUAUAAGUAUCGAUUUAUAUGAAGC
rnacentral:lncRNA from 1 species